rnacentral:rRNA from 1 species
CAGCCGCCGCGGUAAUACGUAGGUGGCAAGCGUUGUCCGGAAUUAUUGGGCGUAAAGCGCGCGCAGGUGGUUUAAUAAGUCUGAUGUGAAAGCCCACGGCUCAACCGCGGAGGGUCAUUGGAAACUGUUAAACUUGAGUGCAGGAGAGAAAAGUGGAAUUCCUAGUGUAGCGGUGAAAUGCGUAGAGAUUAGGAGGAACACCAGUGGCGAAGGCGGCUUUUUGGCCUGUAACUGACACUGAGGCGCGAAAGCGUGGGGAGCAAACAGGAUUAGAUACCCCUGUAGUCCCUGUCUCUUAUAC